GCCAGUGGUGAACUCCACAUACGCAUCCUUUGCUGAGGAUACGGUUAACGGAGCGAAAGCGACGUUCAACCGCAAAAGAAGCAGAGGGGGCUUAGUGGUGGGGUGACUGCGUACCUUUUGUAUAAUGGGUCAGCGACUUAUAUUCUGUAGCAAGGUUAACCGAAUAGGGGAGCCGGAGGGAAACCGAGUCUUAAUUGGGCGUUAAGUUGCAGGGUAUAGACCCGAAACCCGGUGAUCUAGCCAUGGGCAGGUUGAAGGUUGGGUAACACUAACUGGAGGACCGAACCGACUAAUGUUGAAAAAUUAGCGGAUGACCUGUGGCUGGGGGUGAAAGGCCAAUCAAACCGGGAGAUAGCUGGUUCUCCCCGAAAGCUAUUUAGGUAGCGCCUCGUGAAUUCAUCUCCGGGGGUAGAGCACUGUUUCGGCUAGGGGGCCAUCCCGGCUUACCAACCCGAUGCAAACUGCGAAUACCGGAGAAUGUUAUCACGGGAGACACACGGCGGGUGCUAACGUCCGUCGUGAAGAGGGAAACAACCCAGACCGCCAGCUAAGGUCCCAAAGUCAUGGUUAAGUGGGAAACGAUGUGGGAAGGCCCAGACAGCCAGGAUGUUGGCUUAGAAGCAGCCAUCAUUUAAAGAAAGCGUAAUAGCUCACUGGUCGAGUCGGCCUGCGCGGAAGAUGUAACGGGGCUAAACCAU
rnacentral:rRNA from 1 species